rnacentral:rRNA from 1 species
UACGUAGGUGACCAGCGUUGUCCGGAUUUACUGGGCGUAAAGAGCGCGCAGGCGGUCGUUCAAGUCGAGUGUGAAAGCCCCCGGCUCAACUGGGGAGGGUCAUUCGAUACUGAUCGACUUGAAGGCAGGAGAGGGAAGUGGAAUUCCCGGUGUAGUGGUGAAAUGCGUAGAUAUCGGGAGGAACACCAAUGGCGAAGGCAGCACUCUGGGACGUGACUGACGCUGAGACGCGAAAGCGUGGGGAGCAAACAGGG